AUUGAACGCUGGCGGCAGGCCUAACACAUGCAAGUCGAGCGGAUGAAGGGAGCUUUCUCCUGGAUUCAGCGGCGGACGGGUGAGUAAUGCCUAGGAAUCUGCUUGGUAGUGGGUGAUAACGUCCGCAAACGGGCGCUAAUACCGCAUACGUCCUGAGGGAGAAAGUGGGUGAUCUUCGGACCUCACGCUAUCAGAUGAGCCUAGGUCGGAUUAGCUAGUUGGUGGGGUAAAGGCCUACCAAGCCGACGAUCCGUAACCGGUCUGAGAGGAUGAUCAGUCACACUGGAACUGAGACACGGUCCAGACUACUGAGGGAGGGAGCAGUGGGGAAUAUUGGACAAUGGGCGAAAGCAUGAUACAGCCAUGCCGAGUGUGUGAAGAAGGUCUUCGGAUUGUAAAGCACUUUAAGUUGGGAGGAAGGGCAGUAAGUUAAUACCUUGCUGUUUUGACGUUACCAACAGAAUAAGCACCGGCUAACUUCGUG
rnacentral:rRNA from 1 species